rnacentral:rRNA from 1 species
AUUGAACGCUGGCGGCAGGCCUAACACAUGCAAGUCGAACGAGCGGCGGACGGGUGAGUAAUGUAUGGGGAUCUGCCCGAUCGAGGGGGAUAACUACUCGAAAGAGUGGCUAAUACCGCAUACUAUUGGAGCUGCCGAUAUGGGAUUAGCUAGUGGGUGGGGUAAAGGCUCACCAAGGCAACGAUCCCUAGCUGGUUUGAGAGGAAGACCAGCCACACUGGGACUGAGACACGGCCCAGACUCCUACGGGAGGCAGCAGUGGGGAAUUUUGGACAAUGGGGGCAACCCUGAUCCAGCCAUCCCGCGUGUAUGAGAAGGCCUUCGGGUUGUAAAGUACUUUUGGCAGAGAAGCGGUAUCUGCAGAAUAAGCACCGGCUAACUACGUGCCAGCAGCCGCGGUAAUUC